CAAAGAUAUCACCGCAUAAACAUUCUUAAGGAACUUUAGUAUGAAAUAAGACAAAAGACAAGAUCUCGUGCAGAGCACACUAGUGACUUAAUGAUGUACUAUCAGCCAAACAACUGUAUUCACCACCCAAGGCAAGACAAAGUGGUCAGCCCUACUGCUCCAGGUGCUUUGGCUUAAAGUAACCCAAGAAAUCAAUGAAGAAUCGUCAGCAAAGAAAUGACGCUGUCUGAUGUCUAACUUGAAGGUCCUGUGCUGUCUGCUCCAGCUGAACAAAGACUUCAGGAGAGAAGACGAGGGAAGCAAGGACACCGAGCAGUAAAACCAGCUGCAAAAGUAUUACUAACAAACUGUGCAAAAACCCAGACCCAGGAGACGCACAAUUGAGGAGAGCUGGUUUCUCUUGAACAUCUCCCUGCUUCUUGUCUCCGGAAGACGCCCGGCCCUGCUUCUUGUCUCCGGAAGACGCCUGGCCCUGUAACUGGUUGAGUUUCUUCCCCCCACUCACCACUAGAAAUACCGGAGCCAUUUAUGCACCAGCAAAUACGUAAAAAUGUCAUGUUGGGUCUUGUGCAAUGA